GCCUGGCUGGCUCAGUCAGUAGAGCAUAUGACUCUUGACCUCAGGGCUGUGAGUUCAAACCCCACACUGGGCA
rnacentral:tRNA from 1 species